rnacentral:tmRNA from 1 species
GGGGAUGACGGGCUUCGCUCAUAAGAUAUGGUAAUCAAUCGAGCGAAUAGGUGAGGAUUACACCUAAACAUCAAAACCAAUAGAUGCCAAAAACAUCCUAGCAAAAGUAAAAUCUCAAUUCGCUUUUGCUCCUGUCGCUGCUUAAUACAGCGGCCAUCGAUGUUGACCAUGCCUAAUAAUCAACUAUCGGUGUCAUUUUUUUAGGCUAUGACCCCAAAUCAAUCCGCCUGUUUGAAAUUGGGUCAAGAUUAUAAUCAGGCUCCUUAAAAAAUUUUUGUCCAAUUUAUAUUUUUAAGGUAUAGAAAAUUGGACUAUUAUUCGUAAAAACGAUUGAUUGCCUCUUAUGAUACAGGGGUUCAACUCCCCUCAUCUCCACAU